rfam:Aerococcus viridans ATCC 11563 = CCTG 4311 strain ATCC 11563 contig00066, whole genome shotgun sequence.
UAGAGACAUUUGGGGUGCUGUGACAGCUGAGAAUAUACCCAUGGAACCUGAUACAGUUAAUACUGGCGAAGGAAAAUGUAGUAAAUAUUGU